rnacentral:rRNA from 2 species
GAGUUUGAUCUUGGCUCAGAUUGAACGCUGGCGGCAUGCCUUACACAUGCAAGUCGAACGGCAGCACGGGAGCUUGCUCCUGGUGGGCGAGUGGCGAACGGGUGAGUAAUGCAUCGGAACGUAUCCUGGAGUGGGGGAUAACGUAGCGAAAGUUACGCUAAUACCGCAUAUUCUGUGAGCAGGAAAGCGGGGGACCUUCGGGCCUCGCGCUCUUGGAGCGGCCGAUGUCGGAUUAGCUAGUUGGUGAGGUAAAGGCUCACCAAGGCGACGAUCCGUAGCAGGUCUGAGAGGAUGAUCUGCCACACUGGAACUGAGACACGGUCCAGACUCCUACGGGAGGCAGCAGUGGGAAUUUUGGACAAUGGGGGCAACCCUGAUCCAGCCAUGCCGCGUGAGUGAAGAAGGCC